GACGAACGCUGGCGGCGUGCCUAAUACAUGCAAGUCGAACGAACUCUGGUAUUGAUUGGUGCUUGCAUCAUGAUUUACAUUUGAGUGAGUGGCGAACUGGUGAGUAACACGUGGGAAACCUGCCCAGAAGCGGGGGAUAACACCUGGAAACAGAUGCUAAUACCGCAUAACAACUUGGACCGCAUGGUCCGAGUUUGAAAGAUGGCUUCGGCUAUCACUUUUGGAUGGUCCCGCGGCGUAUUAGCUAGAUGGUGGGGUAACGGCUCACCAUGGCAAUGAUACGUAGCCGACCUGAGAGGGUAAUCGGCCACAUUGGGACUGAGACACGGCCCAAACUCCUACGGGAGGCAGCAGUAGGGAAUCUUCCACAAUGGACGAAAGUCUGAUGGAGCAACGCCGCGUGAGUGAAGAAGGGUUUCGGCUCGUAAAACUCUGUUGUUAAAGAAGAACAUAUCUGAGAGUAACUGUUCAGGUAUUGACGGUAUUUAACCAGAAAGCCACGGCUAACUACGUGCCAGCAGCCGCGGUAAUACGUAGGUGGCAAGCGUUGUCCGGAUUUAUUGGGCGUAAAGCGAGCGCAGGCGGUUUUUUAAGUCUGAUGUGAAAGCCUUCGGCUCAACCGAAGAAGUGCAUCGGAAACUGGGAAACUUGAGUGCAGAAGAGGACAGUGGAACUCCAUGUGUAGCGGUGAAAUGCGUAGAUAUAUGGAAGAACACCAGUGGCGAAGGCGGCUGUCUGGUCUGUAACUGACGCUGAGGCUCGAAAGUAUGGGUAGCAAACAGGAUUAGAUACCCUGGUAGUCCAUACCGUAAACGAUGAAUGCUAAGUGUUGGAGGGUUUCCGCCCUUCAGUGCUGCAGCUAACGCAUUAAGCAUUCCGCCUGGGGAGUACGGCCGCAAGGCUGAAACUCAAAGGAAUUGACGGGGGCCCGCACAAGCGGUGGAGCAUGUGGUUUAAUUCGAAGCUACGCGAAGAACCUUACCAGGUCUUGACAUACUAUGCAAAUCUAAGAGAUUAGACGUUCCCUUCGGGGACAUGGAUACAGGUGGUGCAUGGUUGUCGUCAGCUCGUGUCGUGAGAUGUUGGGUUAAGUCCCGCAACGAGCGCAACCCUUAUUAUCAGUUGCCAGCAUUAAGUUGGGCACUCUGGUGAGACUGCCGGUGACAAACCGGAGGAAGGUGGGGAUGACGUCAAAUCAUCAUGCCCCUUAUGACCUGGGCUACACACGUGCUACAAUGGAUGGUACAACGAGUUGCGAACUCGCGAGAGUAAGCUAAUCUCUUAAAGCCAUUCUCAGUUCGGAUUGUAGGCUGCAACUCGCCUACAUGAAGUCGGAAUCGCUAGUAAUCGCGGAUCAGCAUGCCGCGGUGAAUACGUUCCCGGGCCUUGUACACACCGCCCGUCACACCAUGAGAGUUUGUAACACCCAAAGUCGGUGGGGUAACCUUUUAGGAACCAGCCGCCUAAGGUGGGACAGAUGAUUAGGGUG
rnacentral:rRNA from 8 species